rnacentral:rRNA from 1 species
AACGUAGGUCCCGAGCGUUAUCCGGAUUUACUGGGCGUAAAGCGUGUUCAGGCGGUCUAGCAAGUCGGGCAUGAAAUCUCUCGGCUCAACCGGGAGGGGUUGUCCGAUACUGCUGGGCUUGAGGGCAGCAGAGGGUGGUGGAAUUCCGGGUGUAGUGGUGAAAUGCGUAGAUAUCCGGAGGAACACCAGUGGCGAAGGCGGCCACCUGGGCUGUACCUGACGCUCAAACACGAAAGCUAGGGGGGCGAACGGG